rnacentral:lncRNA from 1 species
UUAUAAUAUUUUCCUUUUUAUUUGGCCUUAAAAGGCUAAAUGAAAACAAUGAAAAAUCUGAGCGUUUAAUUCACCAGGUCCCUUCUGGCAUUCAGCAAUUCAAAGAAAGUACAUACUUAUUAUGUAAUGUAUUUUUAUUUCUCCAGUAACCAGAAUGGGACUAUUAGGCUGAUAUACUCAACAGUUAUUAAAUAUAUAUAGCAUAUUAUAUAUAUGUGCACAAAGUAAAAAUCAGUCUAAAGUUAAUCUCAUAUGUUUUUAGUUGCAAUGUAGAUUUAAGCAAUUAGAAAUACUCAAAAACUAGUAAUACUCAAAAAAAGCUAGGCUUCAAA